rnacentral:rRNA from 1 species
UCCACGCCGUAAACGAUGGACACUAGUUGUUGGAGUAAUUCAGUGACUAAGCGAAAGUGAUAAGUGUCCCACCUGGGGAGUACGAACGCAAGUUUGAAACUCAAAGGAAUUGACGGGGGCCCGCACAAGCGGUGGAGCAUGUGGUUUAAUUCGAUGAUACGCGAGGAACCUUACCAGGGCUUAAAUGUAGGUUGCAUUAGCUAGAGAUAGCUAUUUCUUCGGACUACUUACAAGGUGCUGCAUGGUUGUCGUCAGCUCGUGCCGUGAGGUGUCAGGUUAAGUCCUAUAACGAGCGCAACCCCUGUCGUUAGUUGCCAGCAAGUAAAGUUGGGGACUCUAACGAGACUGCCGGUGCAAACCGAGAGGAAGGUGGGGAUGACGUCAAAUCAUCACGGCCCUUACGUCCUGGGCUACACACGUGC